UAGCAUAUCAAUAAGCGGAGGAAAAGAAACUAACAAGGAUUCCCCUAGUAACUGCGAGUGAAGCGGGAAAAGCUCAAAUUUAAAAUCUGGCGGUCUUUGGCCGUCCGAGUUGUAGUCUGGAGAAGUGUUUUCCGCGCUGGACCGUGUAUAAGUCUCUUGGAACAGAGCGUCAUAGAGGGUGAGAAUCCCGUCUUUGACACGGACUACCAGUGCUUUGUGAUGCGCUCUCGAAGAGUCGAGUUGUUUGGGAAUGCAGCUCAAAAUGGGUGGUAAAUUCCAUCUAAAGCUAAAUAUUGGCGAGAGACCGAUAGCGAACAAGUACCGUGAGGGAAAGAUGAAAAGCACUUUGGAAAGAGAGUUAAACAGUACGUGAAAUUGCUGAAAGGGAAACGCUUGAAGUCAGUCGCGUCUGCCGGAACUCAGCCUUGCUUUUGCUUGGUGCACUUUCCGGUUGACGGGCCAGCAUCGAUUUUGACCGACGGAAAAGGGCUGGAGAAAUGUGGCACCCUCGGGUGUGUUAUAGUCUCCGGUCGCAUACGCCGGUUGGGAUCGAGGAUCGCAGCGCGCCGCAAGGCAGGGGUUCGCCCACUAUCGCGCUUAGGAUGCUGGCAUAAUGGCUUUAAACGACCCGUCUUGAAACACGGACCAAGGAGUCUAACAUGCCUGCGAGUGUUUGGGUGGAAAACCCGAGCGCGCAAUGAAAGUGAAAGUUGAGACCUCUGUCGUGGAGGGCAUCGACGCCCGGACCUGACGUUCUCUGAAGGAUCCGCGGUAGAGCAUGUAUGUUGGGACCCGAAAGAUGGUGAACUAUGCCUGAAUAGGGUGAAGCCAGAGGAAACUCUGGUGGAGGCUCGUAGCGAUUCUGACGUGCAAAUCGAUCGUCAAAUUUGGGUAUAGGGGCGAAAGACUAAUCG
rnacentral:rRNA from 1 species